rnacentral:rRNA from 1 species
ACGUACACUCCUGCGGGAGGCAGCAGUGGGGAAUAUUGGACAAUGGGCGCAAGCCUGAUCCAGCCAUGCCGCGUGAGUGAUGAAGGCCCUAGGGUUGUAAAGCUCUUUCACCGGAGAAGAUAAUGACGGUAUCCGGAGAAGAAGCCCCGGCUAACUUCGUGCCAGCAGCCGCGGUAAUACGAAGGGGGCUAGCGUUGUUCGGAAUUACUGGGCGUAAAGCGCACGUAGGCGGAUCGAUCAGUCAGGGGUGAAAUCCCAGGGCUCAACCCUGGAACUGCCUUUGAUACUGUCGAUCUGGAGUAUGGAAGAGGUGAGUGGAAUUCCGAGUGUAGAGGUGAAAUUCGUAGAUAUUCGGAGGAACACCAGUGGCGAAGGCGGCUCACUGGUCCAUUACUGACGCUGAGGUGCGAAAGCGUGGGGAGCAAACAGGAUUAGAAACCCCGGUAGUCC